UACGUAGGGGGCAAGCGUUGUCCGGAAUCAUUGGGCGUAAAGCGCGCGUAGGCGGCCCGGUAAGUCCGCUGUGAAAGUCCAGGGCUCAACCCUGGAAAGCCGGUGGAUACUGUCGGGCUAGAGUCCGGAAGAGGCGAGUGGAAUUCCUGGUGUAGCGGUGGAAUGCGCAGAUAUCAGGAGGAACACCAGUGGCGAAGGCGGUGGUCUGGGCCGGAACUGACGCUGAGGAGCGAAAGCGUGGGUAGCAAACAGG
rnacentral:rRNA from 1 species